rnacentral:rRNA from 1 species
GCCUAGCCCUAAACAUUGGCAACGCCCUACAUCUGUUGCCCGCCAGGAAACUACGAGCAUUAGCUUAAAACCCAAAGGACUUGGCGGUGCUUUAGAUCCACCUAGAGGAGCCUGUUCUAGAACCGAUAACCCCCGUUCAACCUCACCCCUUCUUGUUUAACCCGCCUAUAUACCACCGUCGUCAGCUUACCCUGUGAAGGCCCUUUAGUAAGCAUAAUUGGCACAGCCUAGAACGUCAGGUCGAGGUGUAGCGUAUGGAGGGGGAAGAAAUGGGCUACAUUCUUUAAUGAAAAGAAUACGAAUGAUUGACUGAAAUGUCUUUCCGAAGGAGGAUUUAGCAGUAAGCAAGAAAUAGAGAGUCCUGCUGAAAUCGGCUCUGAAGCGCGC